AUGAAGGCGCAGCUACAGGGGCUUGUGGACCAACUAGCAAACUAUCUCCCUAACUGGUGGGCAACAUUAGUACUGAAGAGUGGGCGCCUAAUACUAAUCACUUCUAUGUUAUGUGUGAUCCCCAUACACGCUAUGCUCGCGCUGGACUUGCCUCCCAAGAUGUUGUCAACAAUGGUUGGGAUUUGUCGAGGAUUCCUUUAGUGCGGGAAGAGGGGAGCUAAUGGAGGAAAUUGCACGGUCGCAUGGGACAUGGUGUGUACACCAAAGUGGGUUGGCGGCUUGGGCAUUUCAAAUCUCUGUUGGCUGAAUAUGGCACUGCAAUCAAGAUGGCCCUGGCUCCAGAGAACAGACAAGUCAAGCCCUGGUCGGGCCUCCCUAUCAUGGUGCCGAAGGAUUCAGUGGCCAUCUUCCAUGCGGCGGCCAGGGCGAUUAUAG
rnacentral:rRNA from 1 species